rnacentral:rRNA from 1 species
GAUGAACGCUGGCGGCGUGCCUAAUACAUGCAAGUCGAGCGAACAGACGAGGAGCUUGCUCCUCUGACGUUAGCGGCGGACGGGUGAGUAACACGUGGUUAACCUAUCUAUAAGACUUAGAUUACUUCGGGAAACCGGAGCUAAUACCGGAUAAUUUAUUUAACCUCAUGUUUCAAUAGUGUUAUCGGGUAUUGCUGUCCCUUAUAGCUGUAUCCGCGCCGCAUUAGCUAGUUGGUAAGGUAACGGCUUACCAAGGCGACGAUGCGUAGCCGAACUGCGAGGGUGAUCGGCCGCACUAGAGCUGAGACACGGUCCAGGCUACUAAGGGAGGCAGCAGUAGCGUAUCGGACGCAGUGGGCGACAGUCUGACGGAGCAGCGCCACGUGAGUGAUGAAGGUCUUCGGAUCGUAAAACUCUGUUAUUAGGGAAGAACAAAUGUGUAAGGGACUAUGCACGUCUUGACGGUACCUAAUCAGAAAGCCACGGCUAACUACGUG